rnacentral:SRP_RNA from 1 species
GCUGGGCACAGUGGUGCAUGCCUGUAGUCCCAUCUACUAGGGAGGCUGAGGCUGGAGGAUUGCUUGAGCCCAGAAGUUUUGGACUGUAGUGCGCUAUUCCGAUCGAGUGUCCGCACUAAGUUCGCCAUCAAUAUGGUGACCUCCAGGGAGUGGGGGACCACCAGGUUGCCUAAGGAGGGGUGAACCGGCCCAGGUAGGAAACAGAGCAGGUCAAAACUCCAAUGCUGAUCAGUAGUGGGAUUGAGCCUGUGAAUAGCCACUGUACUCCAGCCUGGGCAACAUAGCGAGACCCUGUCUCU